AGCGAACGCUGGCGGCAGGCCUAACACAUGCAAGUCGAACGAACCUUUCGGGGUUAGUGGCGGACGGGUGAGUAACCCGUGGGAACGUGCCUUUAGGUUCGGAAUAACUCAGGGAAACUGGUGCUAAUACCGAAUGUGCCCUUCGGGGGAAAGAUUUAUCGCCUUUAGAGCGGCCCGCGUCUGAUUAGCUAGUUGGUUGAGGUAAUGGCUCACCAAGGCGACGAUCAGUAGCUGGUCUGAGAGGAUGAUUAGCCACAUUGGGACUGAGACACGGCGCAAAAUCCUACGGGAGGCAGCAGUGGGGAAUCAUGCGCAAUGGGCGAGAGCCUGACGCAGCCAUGCCGCGUGAAUGAUGAAGGUCUUAGGAUUGUAAAAUUCUUUCACCGGGGACGAUAAUGACGGUACCCAGAGAAGAAGCCCCGGCUAACUUCGUG
rnacentral:rRNA from 1 species